GACGAACGCUGGCGGCGUGCCUAACACAUGCAAGUCGAACGGAGCGGGAUGGAACAAUCCUUCGGGAAAGGGAAGUCCUUGCUUAGUGGCGAACGGGUGAGUAACGCGUGAGCAACCUGCCUUUCAUAGGGGGACAACAGCUGGAAACGGCUGCUAAUACCGCAUAAUAUAUAUCGGGGGCAUCCUCGAUAUAUCNNAGAUUUAUCGCUGAANGAUGGGCUCGCGUCUGAUUAGUUAGUUGGUAGGGUAACGGCCUACCAAGACUGCGAUCAGUANCCGGACUGAGAGGUUGGCCGGCCACAUUGGGACUGAGAUACGGCCCAGACUCCUACGGGAGGCAGCAGUGGGGAAUAUUGGGCAAUGGGCGCAAGCCUGACCCAGCAACGCCGCGUGAAGGAAGAAGGCUUUCGGGUUGUAAACUUCUUUUAUGAGGGACGAAGAAAGUGACGGUACCUCANGAAUAAGCUCCGNCUAACUACGUGCCAGCAGCCGCGGUAAUACGUAGGGAGCGAGCGUUAUCCGGAUUUACUGGGUGUAAAGGGCGCGUAGGCGGGAUAGCAAGUCAGGUGUGAAAUCUGGGGGCUCAACCCCCAAACUGCACUUGAAACUGUUAUUCNUGAGUGAUGGAGAGGCAGGCGGAAUUCCUAGUGUAGCGGUGGAAUGCGUAGAUAUUAGGAGGAACACCAGUGGCGAAGGCGGCUUUCUGGACUGUAACUGNCGCUGAGGCUCGAAAGCGUGGAGGAGCAAACAGGAUUAGAUACCCUGGUAGUCCACGCUGUAAACGAUGAAUACUAGGUGUAGGGGGUAUGAACUCCCCCUGUGCCGCAGCAAACGCAAUAAGUAUUCCGCCUGGGGAGUACGGCCGCAAGGUUGAAACUCAAAGGAAUUGACGG
rnacentral:rRNA from 1 species